GAUGAACGCUGGCGGCGUGCCUAAUACAUGCAAGUAGAACGCUGAAGGAAGGAGCUUGCUCUUUCCGGAUGAGUUGCGAACGGGUGAGUAACGCGUAGGUAACCUGCCUGGUAGCGGGGGAUAACUAUUGGAAACGAUAGCUAAUACCGCAUAACAGUAGAUGUUGCAUGAUAUCUACUUAAAAGGUGCAAUUGCACCACUACCAGAUGGACCUGCGUUGUAUUAGCUAGUUGGUGAGGUAACGGCUCACCAAGGCGACGAUACAUAGCCGACCUGAGAGGGUGAUCGGCCACACUGGGACUGAGACACGGCCCAGACUCCUACGGGGGGCAGCAGUAGGGAAUCUUCGGCAAUGGACGGAAGUCUGACCGAGCAACGCCGCGUGAGUGAAGAAGGUUUUCGGAUCGUAAAGCUCUGUUGUAAGAGAAGAACGAGUGUGAGAGUGGAAAGUUCACACUGUGACGGUAUCUUACCAGAAAGGGACGGCUAACUACGUG
rnacentral:rRNA from 1 species